rnacentral:misc_RNA from 1 species
AACUGAUACUACCUGCGGGAACCUGCGGAAGGAUCAUUACCGAGUUUUCAACUCCCUAACCCUUCUGUGAACCUACCUAUCGUUGCUUCGGCGGACUCGCCCCAGCCCGGACGCGGACUGGACCAGCGGCCCGCCGGGGACCUCAAACUCUUGUAUUCCAGCAUCUUCUGAAUACGCCGCAAGGCAAAACAAAUGAAUCAAAACUUUCAACAAUGGAUCUCUAGAUCGGAAGAGCACACG